GACGAACCGUACGAACGUUAUUCGGAAUCACUGGGCUUAAAGGGUGCGUAGGCUGCGCAGCAAGUUGGGUGUGAAAUCCCUCGGCUUAACCGAGGAACUGCGCCCAAAACUGCUGUGCUCGAGGGAGAUAGAGGUGAGCGGAACUUAGGGUGGAGCGGUGAAAUGCGUUGAUAUCCUAAGGAACACCGGUGGCGAAAGCGGCCCACUGGAUCUCUUCUGACGCUGAGGCACGAAAGCUAGGGUAGCGAACGGG
rnacentral:rRNA from 1 species